CCUUCGAUAGCUCAGUUGGUAGAGCGGGGGACUGUAGAUUUAUAAUUGUGAUCCCUCAGGUCGCUGGUUCGAAUCCGGCUCAAAGGA
rfam:Nematostella vectensis strain CH2 x CH6 NEMVEscaffold_285_Cont22394, whole genome shotgun sequence.